GUUGCUCUCCUCUGCAGCUGGAACAAGCCGUGAAUUUCUCAGUGUGGCGCUCAAGACCCUCGGUGGAACAGCCUGGGUCACGCUUUCACCCUCAUUCUGCUCAGAUGCGCAAACUCAGGCAAAAUCUUGGUUCAUAACAUAGAAGAUGUCACUUUAUGAAAAUAGAAGAACUGGAGAAGGCAGAAGCAAAGAACAGAUUAGUCAUUUUAAAAUGACUUGCCUUGAGACAGAAAAGAGGCGUGCAACAAUAGAAAACGGACUGGCUCAUACAAGGUAAAGGAGCCGAGGCUAGCCCGCAAAGGCUUACAGACACACCAUUAGUCAGCACCAAUGGCUAGAUAUGUGGAAGACAACAUAUUAGAAGAAUAGAGCCUCCAACAAGUUGCAGAGAGGGGAGGAGUCAAUGCAGCCA